rnacentral:rRNA from 1 species
GACGGAGGGGGCUAGCGUUGUUCGGAAUGACUGGGCGUAAAGCGCGCGUAGGCGGUUCGGUAAGUUGGAUGUGAAAGCCCGGGGCUUAACCCCGGAUGUGCGUUCAAGACUGCCGAACUUGAGACCGGAAGGGGAGAGCGGAAUUCCCAGUGUAGAGGUGAUAUUCGUAGAUAUUGGGAAGAACACCGGUGGCGAAGGCGGCUCUCUGGUCCGGUUCUGACGCUGAGGCGCGAAAGCGUGGGGAGCAAACAGGAUUAGAAACCCCGGUAGU